UUUUAAAUUUAGAGUUUGAUCCUGGCUCAGGACGAACGCUGGCGGCGUGCUUAACACAUGCAAGUCGAGCGAUGAAACUUCCUUCGGGAAGCGGAUUAGCGGCGGACGGGUGA
rnacentral:rRNA from 1 species